GUGGGUAUAGCUCAGGGGUAGAGCAUUAUGACUGCACAUCAGGAGGUCCCUGGUUCAAAUCCAGGUACCCACU